rnacentral:rRNA from 1 species
CCUACGGGAGGCAGCAGUGAGGAAUAUUGGUCAAUGGCCGGAAGGCUGAACCAGCCAAGCCGCGUGAAGGACGAAGGUGCCAAGCAUUGUAAACUUCUUUUGUCAAAGGACAAAAUCAGGCUCGAGAGCCUGACCGAGGGUACUUGAAGAAAAAGCAUCGACUAACUCCGUGCCAGCAGCCGCGGUAAUACGGAGGAGGCGAGCGUUAUCCGGAUUUAUUGGGUUGAAGGGGGGCGUAGGCGGACUGUUAAGUCAGCGGUAAAAGCCGGGGGCUCAACCCCGGCGAGCCGGGGAAACUGGCUGGCUUGAGAUGUCGAGAGGUAUGCGGAAUGCGCAGUGUAGCGGUGAAAUGCUUAGAUAUUGCGCAGAACUCCGAUUGCGAAGGCAGCAUACCGGCGGCGAUCUGACGCUGAGGCACGAAAGCGUGGGUAUCGAACAGGAUUAGAUACCCGUGUAGUC